rnacentral:lncRNA from 1 species
GCCCCCACUCACAUGACGGCGCACUGGGCGAAGGACAGGUAGUUCACCAGCACGUCCAGCCCCUUGUUCUCGUCAUUGAGGAACUCGCGCACCCAUCUACAGCGGGACACGGUGCUCAGCGCCGGGGGCACCCCAAGGCCACCACCCCACAGCAUGACCCCAAAGCCAGGACCCCAAAACCAGGACCUCAAAGCCAGGACCCCAAAACCAAGACCCCAAAGCCAGGACCUCAAAGCCAGGACCCCAAAGCUAGGACUCUAAAACCAGGACCCCAAAACCAAGACCCCAAAACCAGGACCCCAAAACCAAGACCCCAAAGCCAGGACCUCAAAGCCAAGACCCCAAAGCUAGGACUCUAAAACCAGGACCCCAAAACCAGGACCCCAAAACCAGGACCCCAAAACCAGGACCCCAAAGUUAGGACCCCAAAACCAUGAUCCCAAAACCAGGACCCCAAUGCCAUGACUCAAACCCAUGAGCCCAAAGUCAUGAUCCCGGUGCCAGUACCGCAAAACCAGGACUCCAAAACCAGGACCCCAAAGCCAUGACCCCAAAACCAAGACCCCAAAACCAGGACUCCAAAACCAGGACCCCAAAGCCAGGACCCUACAAACCAGGACCCCAAAACCAGGACCCCAAAACCAGGACCCCAAAGCCAUGACCCCAAAGCCACGACCCCAAAGCCACGACCCCAAAGCCACGACCACAACACCAACAACCCUAAUGCCAAGACCCCAAAACCAGGACCCCAGCGCCACCCCCCCAAACCACGACCCCAAAGCCAGAAGCUCAAGGCCAUGACCCCAAAGUCACGACCCCGGCACAUUACCCCAACGCCGCGACCCGAACACCACGACCCCAAAGCCAGGACCCCAAAGCCACAACCUCUGCCCAUGGGGACAUUGGGACCGGCCCCACAAACGGGGGGAGGGCAGGUGGGGGCUCCCAGCCCCGGUGACAGUUGCAGCCCCCCACUAUCACCCCAUAGCAGCAGCACGGGGCGUUAUCUAUGGGGCGCAGGGAGGGAGCAGCACCACGUGGGAAACGGGGCCGCGCUCGGCAGCGGGAACCGGUGGCGAUGGGGUCUGUGUGGGGCAGGGGUGGGUGUGGGGUCGGCGUGGGGUGUGCAUGGGUGUAGGGUGCACGGGGUGUGCGUGGAUAUGGGGUGUGUGCAUGCAUGGGGUGCACGGGGUGCAUGGGGUGCAUGUGGAUAUGGGGUGUGUGCAUGCAUGGGGUGCAUGGGGUGCAUGCAUGGGGUGCAUACGGAUAUGGGGUGUGUGCAUGCACGGGAUGCAUGGGGUGUGCAUGGCUAUGGGGUGUGUGCAUGCACGGGGUGCGUGGGGUGCGCAUGCAUGGGGUGCGCGUGCAUGGGGUGCAUGGGGUGCAUGUGGAUAUGGGGUGUGUGCGUGCACAGGGUGCAUGGGGUGUGCAAGGCUAUGGGGUGUGUGCGUGCAUGGGGUGCAUGGGGUGCACGUGGAUAUGGGGUGUGUGCAUGCAUGGGGUGCAUGGGGUGUGCAUG